CGUAGGUCCCGAGCGUUAUCCGGAUUUAUUGGGGCGUAAAAGCGAGCGCAGGCGGUUAGAUAAGUCUGAAGUUAAAGGCUGUGGCUUAACCAUAGUACGCUUUGGAAAACUGUUUAACUUGAGUGCAGAAGGGGAGAGUGGAAUUCCAUGUGUAGCGGUGAAAAUGCGUAGAUAUAUGGAGGAACACCGGUGGCGAAAAGCGGCUCUCUGGUCUGUAACUGACGCUGAGGCUCGAAAAGCGUGGGGAGCAAACAGGAUU
rnacentral:rRNA from 1 species